GCUCCGGAAGGUCCCCGCACCUGGCGGCGGCGUAUACCAGCCCCGCCGCCGCCUCCCGCAGCUCCUCGGGGCACUCCCCCCUGUGCGCGUCGUCGACGAGCGCGGCCCGCUCGGCGAUGAGGUUGCAGCAGGCCUCGAGCUCGGCGAGGACGUCGAGCGCGUUCUGCUCCCGCACGACGUGCUCGGCGCGGGCCAGCGCGCGGUCCGCGUGGCCGAGGCGGAGAAGCUGCUCCACGUCCCCGCGCGCCUGCCCGCACCGCACCUGGCGGUGGCCCCGCACCACGCCGAGGCGCGUCGCCGCCAGCCCCAGCAGCGACUUGAGCCGCGCCGUCUGCUUCGUCGUCCGCCCCAGCAGCACGUCCAGCCUCCUCCCCAUCGCCUCGCACUGGGGCGGCAGCCGGCAGCACCGAGCUCGCUAGCAACACGCGGUCCCCCGAGGCGAGCCCUGGCUGCUGCCGAUCGAGUCG
rnacentral:misc_RNA from 1 species